GUGUCAGCUCCGCGCUAGUGAUCCUUAAACGUGCAGUGGCAUCAAGAGGUGGAGACGGCGUCGUAAAGUUGUCAAUUUUUUGGGUUUAUAAUCGCGAUAGCUGCCGGUUUUGUUUUUCUAUUGUGGAGACCGCCUCUUCUUGUAGGUUGCAUUGGAUCACCAUUAGGCUGUGGUCAAGGAGGUUUUAGCGUCAAUUAAUGUAGGCGCUCGUCGUUCUGGGAUCGGCCCGUCUAUUGCAGCGCAGCAUGCAAGUAGGUUGUAUCGGUGAUAAGAGAUACUACCAGGGACUGUGUGGCAAGAAGAUUCAGGUAAGUGACGUUGUGCAUAAAUUGCUGCGGCGAGUCGCCUCUUAUUCAUCAUGUUUCUGCCACACUAAUCCUUUUCAUAUCGAUCUACCGAUUCGUCGAUUAUGUCCUGGUUGAUUUUCCCCGCAUCGUUUCGUCAGGUUCAGCUAGAGUGCGUUGUCUUAGGCUUGUUCAUCCGGAUGCGUUGAGGUGAGAGUAUUGUUUAUGUUUUAUUGCGAUUAUCUAAUUGAAUUUAUAUUCCAGGAAAGUUAGGCUGGGUCGAGGAAGGUGAUGACCUUGCAUGAGUUUGGGAGCAGACUGACGUGCGCUUUUCAUCGGAUAUAGAUGUCGUUAGAAUAGAUAUAAAGAGAUGUGGGUUUAAAUGGAUGUUUCCAUGUCAAGAUUGUAAUCUCUUCCUUGUAUGAUUAAGGCCAAUAAACUGUCAAUUUUCUUCUCUAAA